UCUUGGCUUAUUUGCCUUUUCGAUCAACUAAAGUCGAAAGAAUCAUAAAAAUCGAAACAAAUGUCUUGUAAAUAUUUUUGGUAUAAAAUUUGCAUAAGUUUAAGUAAUUUAUAGUUAUACUCAAAGCAAUUGUUACGGUUUUGAUUAAAAUGCAUCCAUGUUUGAUAUUUCACAUUUGUGUUAUCCCUUUUGAGCCUGAGACCCGAAACGAGUACGCAUUCCUUUCUCAACGGAGCAUAAUUAUUAUCUGUGCAGCCGCACAAGUUCCUAUUAUGGUAUGGACCGGUUGUUGGCUGGCAUUUAUUGGCUUCGGCAACAGUUGACCCCCUCCAUCCGAGCCCAUUUGAUCCCAUUCCAUUUGCAGCACUAUCAGGAGGGGAAGCUCAAGAGUUGCUGCAUGGAAACAAAGUUUGCCCAGUUUUUUGAUAGCCAACGAGAGAAGCCACAAAUGAACUACAAAAACCGGGAAAACUGUUUCAAAGAAUCAGAGAAAGAGAGAGAGAGAGCGAGAGAGAGUGUAGAUAUGUGAACAUAUACACCAAAUCUAUGGUCAUCCCCCCCACUCACUCGUCUCGACUGUCUCGCUCCCAUCCCAAUCUUCUGGCCGUCAAUAAAUGGCCAUGGCAAUGGCAGUGGCCAUGGAGUUGAGUUUGGGGUUUGAGUUCAUGCUGCUUUUUCUCUAUGGUUCAAUAAUAAAAAUCACUUUUAUUGCUCAA